AUGACUAUAACUGGAUUUUGUCAUAUAGAUUUCUUCAGUCCAGCACUUUUAUCAAGCAUAUGAAAUUUAGGGCAGAUUGAACAUGGAAUGUUUGAGUUAGUAUAAAGUAUGUUGUGUCCUAUUGCCAACAGGUGGCGCUAUGAUUAUAACUGAACAUUGGCCUUUAGAUAUCUUCAGGCCAUGACUCUUAUCAAAUAUCUGAAGUUUGGUGCAGAUUGGACAUUGCAUGUUUAAGUUAGUGUAAAACAAGCCAUUUUCUGUUGUCAGCAGGUGGCGCUAUGAUUAUAGUGGAAUAAUGACCUUCAGAUGUGUUCAGGCCAAGACUCUUUUCGAACAUGUGAAGUUU
ensembl:lncRNA